GCCGAAAUGGCGGAAUGGUAGACGCAGUGGAUUCAAAAUCCACCGCUGGCAACAGCGUUAGGGUUCAAGUCCCUAUUUCGGCA
rnacentral:tRNA from 1 species